UCUUCCUAUCGGCAGAAAUUUGAAUGAAACAUCGCCGGCAUAAAGUUAAUAGGCCAUGCGAUUCGAAUAGUUACCAUGAAUCAAUAAUGGGUUUUGCGGCCCCCAUGUCCUCU